CUUCCUCGAUCUGCUGCGGGCAGAUGAAGUGGAUGUGGCUGUCCAUGCCGCCCGCCGUGACGAUCUUGCCCUCGCCCGCGAUGGCCUCGGUGCCCGGACCGACGAUGAUGUUGACGCCCGGCUGGGUGUCCGGAUUACCUGCCUUGCCGAUCGCCGCGAUGCGCCCGCUCUUCAGGCCGAUAUCCGCCUUGUAGAUGCCGGAGUGAUCGAUCACCACCGCAUUGGUGAUGACGGUAUCGACCGCACCGUUUGCCCGCGUUACCUGGCUCUGCCCCAUGCCGUCGCGGAU
rnacentral:sRNA from 1 species